rnacentral:rRNA from 1 species
AUGCUUCCGCGGCGUGUGCCGGUCCUGGCGCGCGGCUCUCCCCGCGAUGCCGCCGCCGUGGCUGGUGAUCCCCGACGGCGGCUACCCCACCUUGAUGGACCACUUCACGUUUCUCUCCCUCCCGACGCGCCGCUGCGCACACUGGGCACUUCCGGGCUCGCGCUGCGUCGGCUCCAGCGCCGGCUGGCUCGCCCUCCUCGACCCUAG